AUUGAACGCUGGCGGCAUGCCUAACACAUGCAAGUCGAACGGAGAUAGGGGCAACCUUAUUUCAGUGGCGGACGGGUNAGGAAUGCGUCGGAAUCUGCCCUAUGGUGGGGGAUAACACAGGGAAACUUGUGCUAAUACCGCAUAAAUGUCGAGAGACCAAAGCAGGGGACCGCAAGGCCUUGCGCGAUAGGAUGAGCCGACGCCCGAUUAGCUUGUUGGUAGGGUAAUGGCCUACCAAGGCGACGAUCGGGUAGCUGGUCUGAGAGGACUGAUCAGCCACACUGGGACUGAGACACGGCCCAGACUCCUACGGGAGGCAGCAGUGGGGAAUAUUGGACAAUGGGCGCAAGCCUGAUCCAGCAAUGCCGCGUGUGUGAAG
rnacentral:rRNA from 1 species